AGAGUUUGAUCCUGGCUCAGGAUGAACGCUGGCGGCGUGCUUAACACAUGCAAGUCGAACGGUGAACACGGAGCUUGCUCUGUGGGAUCAGUGGCGAACGGGUGAGUAACACGUGAGCAACCUGCCCCUGACUCUGGGAUAAGCGCUGGAAACGGCGUCUAAUACUGGAUAUGUGACGUGAUCGCAUGGUCUGCGUCUGGAAAGAAUUUCGGUUGGGGAUGGGCUCGCGGCCUAUCAGCUUGUUGGUGAGGUAAUGGCUCACCAAGGCGUCGACGGGUAGCCGGCCUGAGAGGGUGACCGGCCACACUGGGACUGAGACACGGCCCAGACUCCUACGGGAGGCAGCAGUGGGGAAUAUUGCACAAUGGGCGCAAGCCUGAUGCAGCAACGCCGCGUGAGGGACGACGGCCUUCGGGUUGUAAACCUCUUUUAGCAGGGAAGAAGCGAAAGUGACGGUACCUGCAGAAAAAGCGCCGGCUAACUACGUGCCAGCAGCCGCGGUAAUACGUAGGGCGCAAGCGUUAUCCGGAAUUAUUGGGCGUAAAGAGCUCGUAGGCGGUUUGUCGCGUCUGCUGUGAAAUCCGGAGGCUCAACCUCCGGCCUGCAGUGGGUACGGGCAGACUAGAGUGCGGUAGGGGAGAUUGGAAUUCCUGGUGUAGCGGUGGAAUGCGCAGAUAUCAGGAGGAACACCGAUGGCGAA
rnacentral:rRNA from 1 species